AAUGAACGCUGGCGGCGCGCCUAAUACAUGCAAGUCGAGCGAGAAGACGUAGCAAUACGUUUGUAAAGCGGCGAACGGGUGAGGAAUACAUGGGUAACCUACCCUCGAGUGGGGAUAACUAGCCGAAAGGUUAGCUAAUACCGCGUACGCUUCUUGGACUUCGGUUUCAGGGAGGAAAGCGAUGCCGAGGGUAUCGCGCUCUUGGAUGGGCUCAUGUCCUAUCAGCUUGUUGGUGAGGUAACGGCUCACCAAGGCUUCGACGGGUAGCUGGUCUGAGAGGACGAUCAGCCACACUGGCACUGCGACACGGGCCAGACUCCUACGGGAGGCAGCAGUAAGGAAUAUUGCGCAAUGGGCGAAAGCCUGACGCAGCGACGCCGCGUGGGGGAGUGAAGGUCUUCGGA
rnacentral:rRNA from 1 species